GACGAACGCUGGCGGCGUGCCUAAUACAUGCAAGUUGAGCGAUGAAGAUUGGUGCUUGCACCAAUUUGAAGAGCAGCGAACGGGUGAGUAACGCGUGGGGAAUCUGCCUUUGAGCGGGGGACAACAUUUGGAAACGAAUGCUAAUACCGCAUAACAACUUUAAACAUAAGUUUUAAGUUUGAAAGAUGCAAUUGCAUCACUCAAAGAUGAUCCCGCGUUGUAUUAGCUAGUUGGUGAGGUAAAGGCCCACCAAGGCGAUGAUACAUAGCCGACCUGAGAGGGUGAUCGGCCACAUUGGGACUGAGACACGGCCCAAACUCCUACGGGAGGCAGCAGUAGGGAAUCUUCGGCAAUGGACGAAAGUCUGACCGAGCAACGCCGCGUGAGUGAAGAAGGUUUUCGGAUCGUAAAACUCUGUUGGUAGAGAAGAACGUUGGUGAGAGUGGAAAGCUCAUCAAGUGACGGUAACUACCCAGAAAGGGACGGCUAACUACGU
rnacentral:rRNA from 1 species